GGAGAGGUCGCCUAGUCCGGCCGAGGGCGCGUGAUUGGAAAUCACGUAAACCGCAAGGUUUCGGGGGUUCAAAUCCCCCCCUCUCCGCCA
rnacentral:tRNA from 1 species